GGGGCUGUGGUUCAGUGGUAGAGUGCUUGCCUUGCAUGCAUGAGACACUGGGUUCGAUCCCUGGCACCA
rnacentral:tRNA from 1 species